rnacentral:lncRNA from 1 species
UACAAAUAAAAUAAAUUAUUAAAAUAAAAACAAUAAACUAAAAUAACAAAAAAAAAGUUAAAAGAUGUAACUUUCAACGGAUUUUCACAUCUAUAAAAGGUUACAUCUUUUAAAUUUUUUAAAUCUAUUUACCAGUAUUAAACAAUUAAAAAAUAUAAAUAUAUAUCUACAAAUAAAAUACAUUAUUAAAUCUAAAAUUAUAAAUAAUAAACUAAAAUAAUAAAAUAGAAGUUAUGAUAAUCCUUCAACGGAUGUGAUAAUACGUUAAUGGAUAUCAACAUCCGUUGAAGGGGAAAUGAAUAUCAACGUCUGUUGAAGGGGAGACAAAAGUUGAUAUUCGUUGACGACUUAUCACAUCCAUUGAAGGAUUACUAUAACUCCUUUCGCGCACCUAAGACGAAGUUUCCUCUGCUGCCUCUGAUAAGCACCACCACAAUCAUCGAGCUCUGCCACCAUUGGUUCCUUGCAACCUCCCACCAAGCACAACCCACUGUCAAGGCGCGCACACACACACGCACACUCACACCACCACCACACUCACAUAAAGUAAAAUGAAAUAGUUAUAAAGGAAUAAGAAAGGGAGAGCUGAUUUUCAUGUGCAAGUUCGGGUGUGGAGGUGUAUUCUUAUAAAGGAGGACCAUUAAUAUGUAAUUAAUGAAGUAGGUGGGUGUGGGUGAAAAUUUACUGUGGUAAUUAAAUGAUAUUGAAGGGCAAAUUAGGUAGGUGGUGUAGGGAGCAUUUGGUGGUGGUGAAGGGAGCAACACUCUUAAAAAAUUUUGAGAAGGUACAGGGAGCAUUUGGUGAUAGUUGAAGGAGUAACACCUCCUAUGAAACUCCAACUCCACCAAGGACACCAUGACCUGCCCAAAUAGGACAUACUAUGAGGAUAGAUCAAGUUGCUCAAAGUGUAUUCUCUUAUUCUAUCUAUCUUAUCCACUAUUCUAGAAAUUAGCUAAAUCAAAAGCAUUAUUGUAAACCUUUGAAGGAUUUAAAUGUCUCCAUGGUUUUUGUAGGGUCAUUAAUAAAGGUGUCAAAUUGACCUAUGGCCUAUGGUCCAACCUUAACUCAUAUUUGGAAAGACUCCAUUUUAAGAAGUUCCCUUCUGAGGUAAAAAAAAAAAAAAGAAAGCCUUAAUCAAUAAAGUCUCCUCUCAAGUGGAUUAAAAACAUUGUUAAGGUGAGUUUGAUUUUAUUACAAAAUUUUAAUUAACUUUUAUAAACGAAACAAUAUGGUUUAUGUACACAUA